rnacentral:rRNA from 1 species
UCCUCCCGCCCGCAGGUACUCUAGCGGUGUGCUGCUGACCCUUGCUGCUGCAUAUGGCGAGACGCUAAUCGCGAUAAACGACAUGAUCGCACUCUGAUGGAAAUUGCCAUGGGCAUCCGAUUAGACAGGUCGCCCCGUAAUAUGAUCCACCAUAUGAACAACCGUGACAUACAUCCCGCGUUACUGAGGCCAUAUGCAGCUUUUGGUGGGUGUGUAUGCUCCUGAUUACCACGUUAUCUUUCAAGACGGUACAGUCUUACGGGCAGGUUACACUUUCGGGUCGUAAAACUCUGUUGUUAGGGAAGAACAAGUGCUAGUUGAAUAAGCUGGCACCUUGACGGUACCUAACCAGAAAGCCACGGCUAACUACGUGCCAGCAGCCGCGGUAAUACGUAGGUGGCAAGCGUUAUCCGUUUAUUAUUGUGCGUAAAGCGCGCGCAGGUGGUUUCUUCACUCUGAUGUGUGUGGCGGCGGAUCAACCGUGCCGGGUCAUUGGAAACUGGGAGACUUGAGUGCAGAAGAGGAAAGCGACAUUCUUCGUCUCUCCAUAUAAU